GUCCUGAAAGGGGUGUCCUGGUGACCUCCGGCCGUGGUGGGCGCGUGGUCCGAGUAUUGAGGGCUUGUUGCUUUGCCCAGAAGAAGCCUAUUCCGCCCCAUGACCACUGCCUUCUUCGCUACCACGGUCUAGAUAAGGGGGAUUGGGAGGUGCACUGCUUCAGCUUCUCCCAAAAGUGGCAGAGUAUGUCAUCCAGUUGCUCGUGCAGAGCUUGAGAGGAUGCAGGGUUCAAGGUGGAGGCCGCCAUUUUGCUGGGCCCAUCGCAAGAAGAGUGAGGGCUAUUAUGG